GUGUAUGUGGGUCUUCGAAUUCCCGAUGCUGAUUCUGGUUCUCCACAGAGCAUUGAUAUGGUUCUUGUCACUAAAGCCGGCCAUUGUUGGGGAGAUUAAGAACAGAAACACAUUGGUUCAUUGAGACUUGAGGCUAUAUUGAACCUGCGAUGGUGAUCUGCAUGAACCUGUGAUAGUGAGUUAUAUGUGGAGUGUGCACUGUACAUUGAUGGAGCACCAUUUGGCCUUCCCACAAGAACAAGAUUCUACAAUUAGAGCAAAGGCUACAAGACUAAUUUCAAGUCAGAUUCACAUUAGAAAUGGCACUUGGAUACAACCUAUGUCUCUUGUUAAUCACUUGGAUCCAGGGCUCAGUGUGACAACUCACUAGAUUAGAAUUUAACAUGAUUGAGAUCCUUCAUGACAAACAAAUAGUGCGUAUUUUGGUGGCUAGCGCAAGUGUUAAGACAUCAGCCUUUAGUUAGCAUUUUUUUUCUUCUAUUUC